rnacentral:rRNA from 1 species
UACGAAGGGGGCUAGCGUUGCUCGGAAUUACUGGGCGUAAAGCGCACGUAGGCGGUCUUUUAAGUCGGGGGUGAAAUCCUGGAGCUCAACUCCAGAACUGCCUUCGAUACUGGAAGACUCGAGUCCGGGAGAGGUGAGUGGAACUGCGAGUGUAGAGGUGAAAUUCGUAGAUAUUCGCAAGAACACCAGUGGCGAAGGCGGCUCACUGGACGACUGUUGACGCUGAGGUACGAAAGCGUGGGGAGCAAACAGGG